UGCAUACUUUAAAAACUGAAAAACUAUGUUUCAAAAAGUUAUAUGUAAUAACUUUUUUCUCUGGCAUUGUAGUAGGUUUCUCUUUCUUGAGUUAAGUUACAAGAAGAGCAUCUAGCUUGCUUUUAGGUAGGGCCCAUUUUAUACCAAAACCAUAUACAUGUACCUUUAAAUACUAGAGACACUCAGUAUAACUUCAAGCUCACUUAGUGAUUGUUCCUGGAUAAUAAAUUUACCAUGAAUGGAUCUGCAAGUUCACUCACUGGAGCUACUGUGUUAUGUGUUACUUAUGUAUGCAUGCAUGUAUAUCAAGGACAGAUAACUGCUUGUAUGUAUGGUAUAAAUGUAUAUCUUAUGACUUUUAAUACCAUGUUACAUUACCACGUUUACCAGUGGGUGCUUCCAAGAGCUAUGUAACUAAGCUUGUAGGAAGAGGCAUUCUUCCUCCAGACACAGUUAUAAAGAUGGUGCAAAAUUCUAUAAAUCUUAAAAUGCUAAUUAUGUCCUCACGUUCUAAGCAUCCAGUCAAAGAGAAUUUUUUAAAAUGUAUCUAACGACAUGAUUUCAGGUAGAAUUUAAGUACGGUGCAUUGACAUUUUCCAAGUUUAUUUGUAAGCUUUAAUGGGCAUUGCUCAACUCAAAUAUACUCCAAAGCUAAGUAAGGACAGUUGUCUCUGAAGAUCAAAUUAUGCAUUAUUUUUAUAGUAUUCAUUACCUAUUUAAAAAAAAGGAGACUUUCCUUUCUGAAGUUAUACACUUUUUUCCCUAUAAAUGGAAGAAUUUAGAGCUUUGGGCAAAAGGAGAACUCUAGAAAUUACAAUCUUCUCCUAUAGGGUACUGUGACCUAGUUGUGGAGAAUUGUGGGAAUUCGGGAGCACAUUGGAGAUCUGCCUAUUGUCGUAUAGAGCAGAGCUGAUGUAAUGACUCAGACAAUUUUCUUAACUUGCCCUGUGAGAGAAAUAAAUAAUAAUGUGUGUGUGUGUGUAUAUGUAUAUAUAACAUAUAACAAUAAUGUGUAUAUAUAAUUGUGUGUAUGUAUAUUAUAUAUAUAUAUAUAUAUAUAUAUAUAUAUAUAUAUAUAUCUCACUCACAGGGCAUUUUAUAUAUUUUAUAAACAUUUAGAGUUAGGCAAAAACAUAAGUACCUUUUCAAAGAGUUACAGUAGUUAACAAGAGAUUCCUUUUUUUUUUUUUUUUUUUUUUUUAGGAUGUAUUUAGGAUUUGGGGGAAGGAAUGGAAAUAACAAGAUCUCAAAGUUUGUUGUGAAUGCCCUAAGGAAGAAUUGGAUCCUGUUUGGAUCCUGUGCUUUUAUGAAUAGUAGAAAAGAAUGACCUAUCAUAUCAUUAGCUUGUCAAGAAUACAGUAGUUACUUUCAAACAGCUUAAGUAAAACCUAUUCUCACCACUCUGUACAAUCUAUGCUAUUAAAUAUUUUACACCACCAGUGAAGACAUAAUUGAUUUGUAACUCUACCACCAUCCUAAUUAUUGAAGUUUGGAUUUUAAUACAUUACUAUUACUUGAAUUUCAAUAAGCUUCUUUGUUCUUUAAUAAUUGAAUACUCAUAACCGGGAAAUAGGUAAAAUAAAACAUUAAAUAUUAUCGAUUUCUAGGGAUUGGCAGAGUCCUUACUUAAAAGUGUUUUAUAUUGACCAGUGUAUGUCUCAGAAUGGCGACUAUAAACUGAAGAAUGAAAUCUAGCAGUGUGUAGUUAGGAUCUUGCAUCACAGGACCCAGCUAGAAGCAGAACGGGAAGCUGAGCUGAGACUAUGAAAAUCAAGACUGAAUUGAGGGUGAUAGUGGAGAAUCUGGGGCCUUAACAGAAUCAACAGGAAGACAGUGGGAGAGAUUGUGCUAACAUGUACUAGGAGAUUUGUUUUAAUACUUAAUACUAUGUCAUAUGAACACUAAUAUAAAAUUUUCAGUGUAUCAAAAUACAGCCUAUUUUCAUUAUUGGUGUAAAAGCAGUAAGUACUAAAAUAAAGGAAAUCAAACAGCAGGGAGCUGUUAAUUCUUUAAA